rnacentral:rRNA from 1 species
CAGCAGCCACGGUAAUACGAGGGGUGCAAGCGUUACUCGGAAUUACUGGGCGUAAAGCGUGCGUAGGUGGUGGUUUAAGUCCGUUGUGAAAGCCCUGGGCUCAACCUGGGAAUUGCAGUGGAUACUGGGUCACUAGAGUGUGGUAGAGGAUAGUGGAAUUUCCGGUGUAGCAGUGAAAUGCGUAGAGAUCGGAAGGAACAUCUGUGGCGAAGGCGACUAUCUGGACCAUUACUGACGCUGAGGCACGAAAGCUAGGGGAGCAAACAGGAUUAGUACCCCAGUAGUCCCUGUCUCUUAUACA